rnacentral:misc_RNA from 1 species
GCUCCUCUGGCGCUUUCGAGACAUCCAUCUUUCACUUUGACCGGUAUCGUCACUCGUAACCAAGCACCAUGAAUGUUCUUGUCGUCGCGGCUGAUCACUCCGAGGACAUCGAGCUGAUCAGUAUUAUUGACGUCCUCUCUCGCGCUGGCAUCAAGGUCACACUCGCUUCUGUGAUGGAGUCGAAGUCCAUUACGCUGGCGCACGGAGUGAAUGUGAUGUGCGAUGCUCUGAUUGGAGAAGUCUCUGCAGUUGAAUACGACGCAGUGCUCCUUCCCGGUGGCAUGCCAGGAGCCGUCCAUCUCGGCAACAACGAAGCGCUGAAGAAGAUUCUGCAGAACGCGCGAGUGGGGAAAAAGCUGUACGGCGGAAUCUGCGCUGCUCCCGCCGUCGCCCUUGCUCCUAUGGGGCUGCUGGAGGGUGUGGACACCGUCACUUGCUACCCCGGCUUUGAGGAUAAGCUGCCCUCUUCUGUUAAGUACUCCACGAACGCUGUUGUGAAGUCAGAGAACUGUCUCACCAGCCGCGGCCCCGGCACCGCCAUCUACUUUGCGCUCGCCGUUGUUUCGAUUCUCAAGUCACCUGACCUGGCUGAGAGGCUCGCCAAGGCCAUGCUUGUGGAUCACAGUAACGAGAUGAACGACGUGCGCGCCAUCAAGUAAACUUAGCAGUGGGGGAGGGGCCUCUAGGAGAAUUUUUCUUUGAGGGCAUCAACGACUAUCGUCAGCGAAAAGACAAGGGCAAAAUGCUCUCUUCCGAUCUUUUCUUUCUUGCUUUAUCCACUUCUUCUGUAGCUCCGUCCCUUUUCUCGGGCUCCAACUAUUUAGGCUUGCGCGAUUGUAUUGGUCUCUGGUACACCUGUUUCAGAUGUAUAUGCCCGUGACGAUUUCAGGGUGUCGAGCGACAGCUCGCCGAAGCCUUUCGCCGCCUUCGUUGUAACGAACUC